GACGAACGCUGGCGGCGUGCUUAACACAUGCAAGUCGAACGGAAAGGCCCUGCUUUUGUGGGGUGCUCGAGUGGCGAACGGGUGAGUAACACGUGAGUAACCUGCCCUUGACUUUGGGAUAACUUCAGGAAACUGGGGCUAAUACCGGAUAGGAGCUCCUGCUGCAUGGUGGGGGUUGGAAAGUUUCGGCGGUUGGGGAUGGACUCGCGGCUUAUCAGCUUGUUGGUGGGGUAGUGGCUUACCAAGGCUUUGACGGGUAGCCGGCCUGAGAGGGUGACCGGCCACAUUGGGACUGAGAUACGGCCCAGACUCCUACGGGAGGCAGCAGUGGGGAAUAUUGCACAAUGGGCGGAAGCCUGAUGCAGCAACGCCGCGUGCGGGAUGACGGCCUUCGGGUUGUAAACCGCUUUCGCCCGUGACGAAGCGUGAGUGACGGUAAUGGGUAAAGAAGCACCGGCUAACUACGUGCCAGCAGCCGCGGUGAUACGUAGGGUGCGAGCGUUGUCCGGAUUUAUUGGGCGUAAAGGGCUCGUAGGUGGUUGAUCGCGUCGGAAGUGUAAUCUUGGGGCUUAACCCUGAGCGUGCUUUCGAUACGGGUUGACUUGAGGAAGGUAGGGGAGAAUGGAAUUCCUGGUGGAGCGGUGGAAUGCGCAGAUAUCAGGAGGAACACCAGUGGCGAAGGCGGUUCUCUGGGCCUUUCCUGACGCUGAGGAGCGAAAGCGUGGGGAGCGAACAGGCUUAGAUACCCUGGUAGUCCACGCUGUAAACGGUGGGUACUAGGUGUGGGGUCCAUUCCACGGGUUCCGUGCCGUAGCUAACGCUUUAAGUACCCCGCCUGGAGAGUACGGCCGCAAGGCUAAAACUCAAAGGAAUUGACGGGGCCCCGCACAAGCGGCGGAGCAUGCGGAUUAAUUCGAUGCAACGCGUAGAACCUUACCUGGGUUUGACAUGGAUCGGGAGCGCUCAGAGAUGGGUGUGCCUCUUUUGGGGUCGGUUCACAGGUGGUGCAUGGCUGUCGUCAGCUCGUGUCGUGAGAUGUUGGGUUAAGUCCCGCAACGAGCGCAACCCUUGUUCACUGUUGCCAGCACGUUAUGGUGGGGACUCAGUGGAGGCCGCCGGGGUCAACUCGGAGGAAGGUGGGGAUGACGUCAAGUCAUCAUGCCCCUUAUGUCCAGGGCUUCACGCAUGCUACAAUGGCUGGUACAGAGAGUGGCGAGCCUGUGAGGGUGAGCGAAUCUCGGAAAGCCGGUCUCAGUUCGGAUUGGGGUCUGCAACUCGACCUCAUGAAGUCGGAGUCGCUAGUAAUCGCAGAUCAGCAACGCUGCGGUGAAUACGUUCCCGGG
rnacentral:rRNA from 1 species